rfam:Myotis brandtii contig203795, whole genome shotgun sequence.
AGGCCCAAAGAGAGAGGCAGGGUCUGAUUCACAGCCUCCAUGGCAGCUGUUGAUCAGCUGUUGCCUCUCUCUUUCUCUCCG